GGAACUUAUAGAGUUUUUGGCGGAAUGGUGAAAUGGGCAGCCGUAGAUUCAUUAAGCGACUUUGAUACCAUGGGAGACUACUUUUACGAUUCCGAUACUGGUCCGAAUCUCGAAGGAGGCUUACAAUACUACUUGAACUACUUAGUGCAAGACGUAAUCAUGAUAGAAGACAGAAACGAUCCGUCGACACAGCUGUAGAGAUACAUACCAGAGAUUUUUCUGCUACUGCUAAUGAACCACCUGCGAACUGGGGAGCAGGAUCAACCAGAGGAUAAUAGAUUACACUAUUUUAAUCAAUAAUCAAAUUCCUAAUAAAUAUAAUCAUAC